UUGAACGCUGGCGGCAGGCCUAACACAUGCAAGUCGAGCGGUAGCACAGAGAGCUUGCUCUCGGGUGACGAGCGGCGGACGGGUGAGUAAUGUCUGGGAAACUGCCUGAUGGAGGGGGAUAACUACUGGAAACGGUAGCUAAUACCGCAUAACGUCGCAAGACCAAAGUGGGGGACCUUCGGGCCUCAUGCCAUCAGAUGUGCCCAGAUGGGAUUAGCUAGUAGGUGGGGUAACGGCUCACCUAGGCGACGAUCCCUAGCUGGUCUGAGAGGAUGACCAGCCACACUGGAACUGAGACACGGUCCAGACUCCUACGGGAGGCAGCAGUGGGGAAUAUUGCACAAUGGGCGCAAGCCUGAUGCAGCCAUGCCGCGUGUGUGAAGAAGGCCUUCGGGUUGUAAAGCACUUUCAGCGGGGAGGAAGGCGAUAAGGUUAAUAACCUUGUCGAUUGACGUUACCCGCAGAAGAAGCACCGGCUAACUCCGUGCCAGCAGCCGCGGUAAUACGGAGGGUGCAAGCGUUAAUCGGAAUUACUGGGCGUAAAGCGCACGCAGGCGGUCUGUCAAGUCGGAUGUGAAAUCCCCGGGCUCAACCUGGGAACUGCAUUCGAAACUGGCAGGCUAGAGUCUUGUAGAGGGGGGUAGAAUUCCAGGUGUAGCGGUGAAAUGCGUAGAGAUCUGGAGGAAUACCGGUGGCGAAGGCGGCCCCCUGGACAAAGACUGACGCUCAGGUGCGAAAGCGUGGGGAGCAAACAGGAUUAGAUACCCUGGUAGUCCACGCCGUAAACGAUGUCGAUUUGGAGGUUGUGCCCUUGAGGCGUGGCUUCCGGAGCUAACGCGUUAGAUCGACCGCCUGGGGAGUACGGCCGCAAGGUUAAAACUCAAAUGAAUUGACGGGGGCCCGCACAAGCGGUGGAGCAUGUGGUUUAAUUCGAUGCAACGCGAAGAACCUUACCUGGUCUUGACAUCCACAGAACUUUCCAGAGAUGGAUUGGUGCCUUCGGGAACUGUGAGACAGGUGCUGCAUGGCUGUCGUCAGCUCGUGUUGUGAAAUGUUGGGUUAAGUCCCGCAACGAGCGCAACCCUUAUCCUUUGUUGCCAGCGGUUAGGCCGGGAACUCAAAGGAGACUGCCAGUGAUAAACUGGAGGAAGGUGGGGAUGACGUCAAGUCAUCAUGGCCCUUACGACCAGGGCUACACACGUGCUACAAUGGCAUAUACAAAGAGAAGCGACCUCGCGAGAGCAAGCGGACCUCAUAAAGUAUGUCGUAGUCCGGAUUGGAGUCUGCAACUCGACUCCAUGAAGUCGGAAUCGCUAGUAAUCGUAGAUCAGAAUGCUACGGUGAAUACGUUCCCGGGCCUUGUACACACCGCCCGUCACACCAUGGGAGUGGGUUGCAAAAGAAGUAGGUAGCUUAACCUUCGGGAGGGCGCUUACCACUUUGUGAUUCAUGACUGGGGUG
rnacentral:rRNA from 1 species